ACAGACGACACCGCGGCCAUUGAAGGAACGUGGCGGCAUGUGAAGCAAUUUGCUCGUGGAUGUUGAACGCAGGCGGAUUUUCAGCUAAUGUUGACUGACUUUUUAUUUGAUAGACUCACUGAUUUAUCUGGCCACGAGAAAUUUUGUUCAUUUUUGGAUAUUGUUUCUGGAAUGGACUGGAGCGAGCAGACGACACAGCACGCGAGUGCAGCGAGCAGUUGGGAGAGGUCAAUGUUUUGCAUAGCUCCGCCUACAGGGAGGCCAUCAUGGCUGUUCCGAUAGCGCUGUCGCCAGUGAUCACCACCACCCGGAAGCAGAAGACCUGUGACGUAAUCUAGUCUGCACAUCGUCAACAAAAACAUGUGUGCUAGAGCAGCGAGGCGACGGAUACCAAUUCUAACUGCAUCAUCUGCUUCAUAUACUGAGCGCAUUCCUAUCAGAAAGUUUUCACAACAGAUUCUGGCUGACAUGGAAGUAGCAGAAACUUAUUCGACUUCUUACAUCUUCUUCUGUGCCUCCAUCGUUGCUGACUAUGCUGCCAAGGAAGAAGGAGUCAGUGCGCAUGUCAGGUGUUGCGCAAAGUGGAGGAGUUUAUGUGACACCAUGGCAUUGAUGCCACCCGCUAUUUGCCACCCGGCUCCGACAUGGAACCUAAGAGCAUGAUGGCCUUUCUCACGACUAUUCGGCCGGUUAGUCUGGUCCAGUAUGAUUCCAUUGCUCAAUCCCAGCAAGAUUAAAAUUUCCAGUCCUUCUACAAAAGAACACAUUAUCUCUUGUGAUGGCCAUGAAACUAAGAACAACUGUAAUAAUCAUCAUUGCUUUGGUGUGGCUGCAAGCAGCAGUUGUUGACGGGG